rnacentral:rRNA from 1 species
CCUUAGGCAGCCACCAUUUAAACAGUGCGUAAUAGCUGACUCAUCGAGUGAUCCCGCGCCGAAAAUGAUUGGCGAUCAAGCGGUAUACUGAAGCUCUGGAUGACAGACCGGUUCGCCGGACUGUUGUGGUAGGGGAGCAUUGUUAACGCAUCGAAGCCUGAUGGCGACUGACGGUGGAGUGUUAACAAGAGAGCAUGCAGACAUUAGUAACGAGAAGGCAGGUGAAAUCCCUGCCCGCCGUAAACCCAAGGUUUCCUGGGCCACGCUAUUCGUCCCAGGGUUAGUCGGGACCUAAGCCGAGGCAGAGAUGCGUAGGCGAUGGACAGCAGUUUAAUAUUACUGCACCACCGAAAAUUUAAGCACAGAGGACGGGGUUGAAGAGAGGACCUGCCUGUUGAACGUGGCAGGGGCGCAAGCUGACGGGGCGGUUCGCCAAACCGGAUUCUUCAAAUCGAUCUCCAAGAAAAGUCUGUGUGGAUACUAAGGUGCCCGUACCGCAAACCGACACAGGUGGGUGAGUAGAAUAUACUAAGGCGUAAGAGUGAACCCCCGUUAAGGAACUCGGCAAUCUAGCCCCGUAACUUCGGGAGAAGGGGUGCCCCCCUUUGGGGGGGCCGCAGUGAAUGGGCCCAACCGACUGUUUAUCAAAAACACAGCACUCUGCCAAGACGCAAGUCCAAGUAUAGGGUGUGACACGUGACCAAUGCGGAAAGAUUAAGGCAAGCGGUUAGCUGCAAGGCGAAGCUGUGAACCUAAGUCCCCGUGAAUGUCGGCCGUAACAAUAACGGUCCUAAGGUAGCGAAAUUCCUUGUCGGGUAAGUUCCGACCUGCACGAAUCGUGUAACGAGUUGGGCGCUGUCUCAACGGGGUGCUCAGUGAAUUUGUAUUGGCGGUGAAGAUGCCGCCUACCCGUGGAAGGACGGAAAGACCCUAUGCACCUUAACUGUACUCUGUCACUGUUGUUUCGGUUUUCAUGCUCAGCGUAAGUGGGAGACUUUGAGGCAGCCCUUUCGGGGGUUGCUGAGUCGUCAAGAGACACCACCCUUGGGGAUUGAAACAUCUAACACCGGUCCCGUGAAUCCGGGCGGAGGACAAUGGCAGACGGUCAGUUUUACUGGGGCGGUAUCCUCCCAAAGAGUAACGGAGGAGCGCGAUGGUCGGUUCAACCUGGUUGGCAAUCAGGUGAUGAGUGCAUUGGCAUAAACCGGCCUAACUGUGAGACCUACAAGUCGAGCAGAUGCGAAAGCAGGUCAAAGUGAUCCGGCGUUUGAAAAUGGAAUCGACGUCGCUCAACGGACAAAAGGUACGCUAGGGAUAACAGGCUGAUUUUGCCCAAGAGUUCAUAUCGACGGCAAAGUUUGGCACCUCGAUGUCGGCUCGUCACAUCCUGGGGCUGA